rnacentral:misc_RNA from 1 species
CUGUUCGAGCGUCAUUACAACCCUCAAGCUCUGCUUGGUAUUGGGCAUCGCCAUCUUUGGCGUGCCUCAAAGUCAUUGGCGGUGCCACCUGGCUUCUAGCGUAGUAAUACUUCUCGCUAUGGAGUUUGGGUGAGUGCUUGCCAUCAACCCCUAAUUUCAAGAUUGACCUCGGAUCAGGUAGGGAUACCCGCUGAACUUAA